rnacentral:tRNA from 1 species
GAGGGUAUAUCUCAAGUGGUAGAGUUUAUGCUUAGCAUACAUGAGGUCCUGGGUUCAAUCCCCAGUACCUCCA